GCGGAUAUUGGGCGUAAGAGCUCGUAGGCGGUUUGUCGCGUCUGUCGUGAAAGUCCGGGGCUUAACCCCGGAUCUGCGGUGGGUACGGGCAGACUAGAGUGCAGUAGGGGAGACUGGAAUUCCUGGUGUAGCGGUGGAAUGCGCAGAUAUCAGGAGGAACACCGAUGGCGAAGGCAGGUCUCUGGGCUGUAACUGACGCUGAGGAGCGAAAGCAUGGGGAGCGAACAGGAUUAGAUACCCUGGUAGUCCAUGCCGUAAACGUUGGGCACUAGGUGUGGGGACCAUUCCACGGUUUCCGCGCCGCAGCUAACGCAUUAAGUGCCCCGCCUGGGGAGUACGGCCGCAAGGCUAAAACUCAAAGGAAUUGACGGGGGCCCGCACAAGCGGCGGAGCAUGCGGAUUAAUUCGAUGCAACGCGAAGAACCUUACCAAGGCUUGACAUGUUCUCGAUCGCCGUAGAGAUACGGUUUCCCCUUUGGGGCGGGUUCACAGGUGGUGCAUGGUUGUCGUCAGCUCGUGUCGUGAGAUGUUGGGUUAAGUCCCGCAACGAGCGCAACCCUCGUUCCAUGUUGCCAGCACGUCAUGGUGGGGACUCAUGGGAGACUGCCGGGGUCAACUCGGAGGAAGGUGAGGACGACGUCAAAUCAUCAUGCCCCUUAUGUCUUGGGCUUCACGCAUGCUACAAUGGCCGGUACAAUGGGUUGCGAUACUGUGAGGUGGAGCUAAUCCCAAAAAGCCGGUCUCAGUUCGGAUUGGGGUCUGCAACUCGACCCCAUGAAGUCGGAGUCGCUAGUAAUCGCAGAUCAGCAACGCUGCGGUGAAUACGUUCCCGGGCCUUGUACACACCGCCCGUCAAGUCACGAAAGUUGGUAACACCCGAAGCCGUGGCCUAACCCUUGUGGGGGGAGCCGUCGAAAGGUGGGACCAGCGAUUGGGACUAAGUCGUAACAAGGGUAACCGUA
rnacentral:rRNA from 1 species